ACUCCUACGGGAGGCAGCAGUGGGGAAUAUUGCACAAUGGGGCGCAAGCCUGAUGCAGCCAUGCCGCGUGUAUGAAGAAGGCCUUCGGGUUGUAAAGUACUUUCAGCAGUGAGGAAGGUGGAGUCGUUAAUAGUCGGCCCCAUUUGACGUUAGCUGCAGAAGAAGCACCGGCUAACUCCGUGCCAGCAGCCGCGGUAAUACGGAGGGUGCGAGCGUUAAUCGGAAUUACUGGGCGUAAAGCGCAUGCAGGUGGUUUGUUAAGUCAGAUGUGAAAGCCCGGGGCUCAACCUCGGAAUUGCAUUUGAAACUGGCAGACUAGGAGUACUGUAGAGGGGGGUAGAAUUUCAGGUGUAGCGGUGAAAUGCGUAGAGAUCUGAAGGAAUACCGGUGGUGAA
rnacentral:rRNA from 1 species